rnacentral:rRNA from 1 species
UACGGGGGGAGCAAGCGUUGUUCGGAUUUACUGGGCGUAAAGGGCGCGUAGGCGGCGCAACAAGUCACUUGUGAAAUCUCCGGGCUUAACCCGGAGCGGCCAAGUGAUACUGUCGUGCUAGAGUGCGGAAGGGGCUACUGGAAUUCUCGGUGUAGCGGUGAAAUGCGUAGAUAUCGAGAGGAACACCUGCGGCGAAGGCGGGUAGCUGGGCCGACACUGACGCUCAUGCACGGAAAGCGUGGGGAGCAAACAGG